AUAUAAAAAGAGAAUCGCGAAAACCCUAAGCACCACUGACAUUAUCCUCUCUCUCUUGUUUUUUUUUUAACUCUCUCUCUCUCUCUCUCUCUCUCAAUGAAGAUCUAUCGAGAAACACUAAAACUGCUACAAUCUUUGCCUCUAUGAUUUCUCAACACCCUAUCUGGCUCUCUACCCAUCUGCUUCAGAUCUGCAUCCGGCAAGGCAUGGAAGGCAAGUUUUCUAAUCUGAAUCUGCAAAAGGUUCGGUUUUUUCAUGUCAUUCUUCUUUUCGUGGAUCUAAAAACGUUGAUUUGAAUCUUGUAUACCUUGUUUUGAAUCUUGAAUCUUGGAUACUCUGUUUGAACCCUUGCAGACUCUGUUUAGUCAGUUUAAACCUGAGUUUUCAUUCGUGUAUGUUUGCAUCUCUCUAUCUUGCAUCUCUCUAUCUUGUUUCCUAUUCGUGUAUGUUUGCAGAUUGUAUCUCUAUCUUGCAUCUCUCUUCUUCUUGAUUUGGUUUGUUCUGUUUUGAUCCGGUUUCAUGUUUUGAUAUGAAAGUUUUGUUUUAUUACUCUUGGUAAAGAACAUCCCAUUUAUAAGACCAGUCUAAAUGUCUUGUUCGACAUUAUGUUAAGCAUGAGUUUUGAAAUGAAAGUUUCUUUUUUUAA